rnacentral:rRNA from 1 species
GAAUAAACGGCGGAGACGAAACCUGCUGUUACCCCAAAGGAGAGGAGUAGCCUGUCAAGGCAGCCGCGGCGGCUCGAGCGUGCCGCUCCGUCUGGUGACGAGCUAUAGGAUUGAGGUUGGGUCGGUUGAGGGUGGGCAUCUGGGAUUAAGAUUCCGUCGGAUUAGGGAGCGGUACCUCCUAAGGGAACACGGCGGACACGGAGGACGGGGUUGGUGGGAAAAGGAGUGAGCGGCCGCUAGUGUAGAGCUGUCGCGGAGGAUGGCGUGCGAGAGGGCCGAGAAGAGGGUGACGGAGGUGGUGGCGGGGAGCGUCGAGCGACGGGGCCGCGGGGAACUUCAGCUCGGGCGGCGACGCUUGGGAUAUACGCUGCUCAGCGGUGUCCCCACGAGCCAUGGCGGACCUGCCCCUUUCCUGAAUCCUCUUCUCCUCUGACGCCAUUCCUGAAGACAGUAGCUCUUGGGGAGUGGGCGCCGUCAGCUACGUCGGUGGCCAUUGGGAUAACGUCUGGGCCGACACCGUGGUGUCUCUAUGUACCUCUUAGUUCACCGGCCCCAAGUCGCCCACCUCCCGCAUUGUCUAUACCAACAACCCCCUUUGCAGACGGCACUCUGACAACGCAAGCACCUCCUCAACCCCCGUCUCCUACAAAACUCCAGCUACUUCCUAACAAACCUCCCCCUCCAACUGCUUAACCGUCUCGGUCUACAUCACCACCAGUUACUACUACUUGUAGACGACGAACUAUGCUACUACUGGUUGAAGAGUCCCAACUAACGACUACGGUCACCGCCAUGUUGCAGUUACGACUUGAUACCCCAAAGACCUCCACUUGGUGUGUUACUACCGUUGUAUCGACUCCCCCACUUUCUUAACCCUCGACCUUGACUUCUUCUGUCUGGACACCCACCAAAUCUAGUCGUGAGUCAACUACCACCGCACCAACUCCUUCCUCUCUAACUCCCACUGUACGUCCGAGACCUACAUCUACUUAGACUACUAAGCCUCGAGCUUCUACGUCUACUACUCCUUAACCUUCUCCUAAAAUGAUUGUCUCACAACCCCCUCUUACUUAGUAGACCGGUCCUGUAUGGCACAGACUUAAACGAAAGUUGCGGAUUUUGAUUUCCUUGGUCACUAGAACAUGACUUGUUCCUUCCAAUAUAGUUCCUACUACGUGAUUUCGUACAGUGGUCCCGCGUCCGUCAGUCAAUACUACUUUAACACCUUACCUUACUCUGUGGCGACGGACUACGACUCCGAGGGUUUGAUCCCUUCUCUUUUGCCGUAAACUGUCUCCUUUCUUUCCGAUUCUUCUGCUUUUUGUUUGCCCAAUUCUCUCGUGUCGUCGCCUAUCGCCUACCACACUUUUCUGACUUUGAACGUGGUCAAUAUUUCGGCUUUGGUCACUUCAAUACGGUGAAGAUGUACGUACCCUUCACGGUCGUCCCGUUACGAACGUUCAAGAGUGUACUAUGAUGUGGAAACUGUUUUAGAUUCGGGACGUGUGUAAAACGCGCGCCAAGAACAAACUUUCCUCUACUAACAGGGAUACUAGUACUCAACAGUUUCAUGGGAACGGUGUUGAAACACCUUUUACCUUACACAAAGUCUCCACUAUUUACGUUUAAAAGAGUACACCACGGUUGACGUCUACCAGGAAGGUUUGGUCUACGUUUCUUUAGACUACGCAGUAACCACAGACUUUUUGGACCGUCUCUCGUUUGUUCAUCAGUCUUUCGUAGUUGCCAGGUACUACCGCUUGCACAUUGAAGACGAGGAUGGUUUGUAAUGAGGUAGGAAUUUUUGGAACGGCCGUAGAGUCAUUUACGAGAUUUUCGUAGUUGGUCAUGUGGUUUCCCACAUGUCAAAGCAGGAAGGUCAUUUCUGUCUAGUUUAAGAUCGUACAACGUAGUCCUACGAGAUUGGUAGCUCUUCGUAUACAUAUGUUUACCGUCAUUUGUAGUCUUAAAACCACCUGGCGUCCGACUUCUUCCCCUAUUUUUACAGUCAGGUUUAUUUGUCUCUAGUCGAGGUGACGAGCUACUCUUCUUGAGUAGUUUUCUUCGAUCAAGUGUAGGUUCAAGUCUGGGUUUCCCUUGAUCAAACGGAUGACCGAGAUGAUGUCACGAACCUAGUGAGUCGUGAGUCGUGCUUCAAAGUCUCCGAAGUUCUUAAAACGUUCUUAAGAAUAAACCACGACCGUCAAUCUCCUUUUUAAUCCGAUUCACGGUGGCACCCAUGUACUUCUAAACAAUAAUAGGUCAGUUGAGUGAGACGUAUACCAUGAAGGUAAACCGGUUAGUAAACAUCGUAAUCUAGAUUCGAAUGACCAUACUAUUUACGGAAGGACUUAGCCACGAAACUACUCAGUAGAGAGUGUAUACUAAGUAAAAUUGGUGUGAAACCUUCAACGAGGCUCAAAUUACUCACACGCCUAAAAAUUUACAAUGGAACAGUAUCAACUC